GUUUGUUAAUCCCAUGGGCAGAGGAGGGCCUUCCUUCCAGCAACUGGGGGUCACCCACUUCUGCUGCCCGGUGUUAAUACAGGGGAGCUGUUUCACUCAGGAACAGCAUGUUCUUUGGGGGCACUUUAAAGCCAGGCAAUUAACUCUAAUUGAUAUCUUCCUUUGGAAAUCCCCGAUAACAGAUCUUGUGUCUUAGUUUGGGUUUCCCCAGAGCAGACCGAGAGGCAAAGAUUGAAGGACAGAUGGAAGGUCAAGGCAAAAGAGAAGCAGAAAUGAGCCAGGGGAAGGGAGACAACCCCAAUGAAGCAAGUUAUCAAGACCGCAGGCAGCUGGAGUUUCAUCUCACCAGGUGUAGGUGGCCACUGGGGCUGGCGCCAUCUUGACUUGAACUGGACGUCUAAGAUGGCUUCUCAGCACUCUCCCUGGGGAGUGGCUGGAUUUCUUUCAUGGAGGCGCAGAGCUACAUGAGGUGGGAAGCCCAGAACUCCCCCAGCCUCACUUCUACCAUGUUCCAAAAUACCACGAGGUCAAGAUCAUUCCAGAUUCCAGGCUCAGGAAGAAUAGACCUCAGACCUCAAGGAGGAGAGCCACACAGCCCUUCCUACUUCCUGUGGGGGAACUACUGGUCACCUCUGGAGCCUUGCUUGCUACUAUCCUAUGAGUGGGUCCUCAGCACCUGCCCUGUACCGCCUCACAGAACCAGGACCGAGGAGGUAGGUGCCAACAUUGUCCUGCACACACAGAAACAGAAACAAGAAGUAAGUCGUUUGCCCAAAACCCUGCAGCUUCUAAGGGG